UACAAACUAGACAGCUUUUGCGAAUUGACC
rnacentral:piRNA from 1 species